CGCGUAGGCGGUUUGGUAAGCUGGAUGUGAAAUCCCCGGGCUCAACCUGGGAACUGCAUUCAGAACUGCCAGGCUAGAGUACAGUAGAGGAUAGUGGAAUUUCCGGUGUAGCGGUGAAAUGCGUAGAGAUCGGAAGGAACAUCAGUGGCGAAGGCGGCUAUCUGGACUGAUACUGACGCUGAGGUGCGAAAGCGUGGGAGCAAACA
rnacentral:rRNA from 1 species